GUCUAUGGCCAUGCCAGCCUGAACACGCCUGAUCCCAUCUGAUCUUGGAAGCAAGCAGGGUCGGGCCUGGUUAGUACUUGGAUGGGAGACCACCUAGGAAGACCAGGUGGUGUAGGGA
rnacentral:rRNA from 1 species